UUUUAUUGUUUUAUUUUAUCUAUUUAUGUCUAGUUUUGUAAAUUUCAAACCCAAAACCCUGUUUCUCUAGAUAGUAUAUGACGCCUAGUAUAUGAUAGCCAGUUGCAAUUUUAUUCUCUGUGUUCAAUAUCCCGGUACUUACUUUAUCUCCUCUUUUACUUUACUCUCUCUACUCUUAUCUUUACCACAUCGUGCAGUGUGCGUGUGUAAUUUUAUAAAUAUUUGGAAUUCCACUAGUUUUGAUAUGAAAUUCAAAUCGUGGAAUUAAAGUAUUUGGAAUUGUAAUUCAAUUCCAAAUCCAAGUAUUACUAAACACUUAGAUUUGGAAUUGAAAACUCCAACUCCACCCCCCCAAUUACGUGUACAGAACGAAGCUUAUUUUUAUUUUCUGUACAUUGAGAUUGCAAAACGGUGAAACACAAGCUUCUUAUGCCCAUGUCAGUACGCCCAGUCCACAUAAUAUCAACUUCACUUAUACUUUUCCAUCAGAACUUUUUUCACAUAAAUCAUGGGGUUCAUUUCACAUAGAUGGUAUGUGAAUAUUGUUUAACUCAAUUUGUUUGUCGCAAAAAAUAUAGAAUACACAUACGAAUAGAAUUAAAUAUCGAUUGGCUAAUCCUCCAUCGUUGACCGCUCAAUGGUACUGUAAAAACCAAGUAGUGUGUCAUCCAAUUUUUAACACUUUACAGUUCGGGCUACACACUGUGCUAAAGCUAAACUUCAAAAUAUGUAAUUUGCAUUAUGUAUGGUUCUUAAUCAGCUUGUGGGUUUCGCAUUAUAUUUUUUUUAUUACAUGCAUAUACAUUUUCUUUGUUGCAGGUGUUUGACUGCCGUUUACAUUGUUGUUCCCAAGCUCCAACCUAUCAUAAUGAAAACCAAAUUGGCCAAUUUGUUACAGAAGUGGACCGUAAGCCCUGUGGAGAUGAAUGUUAUCUUUAGCCAUGCGAAUCUACAGGAAAUUCAAUCCAAGCUUCACAUAAAUGGAGCAAUUGGAACCCUUUGGAGAAAUACUUACACCUCAAGGGAUUACAAAUAUUUGGAAGAAAUAGUUGUUAUAUAGCUCGGAAUUUGCUCCAUGGUCUGAAAACUUGCGAAGAAGUAUCUAAAUGAAGCUGGGAGGGAUGGCAUGGAUCCUAUGGAGCCAGAUAUGGCAGCCAAAUCAAGAAUAAGUCGUAAGAGGGGAAGAGUGCGCACCGUCAGUCCUUGUGGAGAGGGAAAGGACAUCCCAUAUAAGCAAUAUUCUCCAUGCAUGUGCCAGCCAACGUGUGGGAAGCAGUGUCCUUGCCUUCAGAAUGGAACUUGUUGUGAGAAAUACUGCGGGUGCUCAAAAAGCUACAAAAAUCGCUUCAGAGGGUGCCAUUGUGCUAAAGGUCAAUGUAAAAGCCAACAAUGCCCCUGCUUUGCAACUAAACGUGAAUGUGAUCUAGAUGUUUGCUGGAGUUGUUGGGUUAGGUAUUCAGUUUUAGUGUCUAUUUAUCACUUCAAUUGGCUUCACCUCUAUUUACCAGUCCAUCAUGGCUUGCAUUUCCCCUAGUAUCUCGUUUUGCUUUA